UUUUCAUUUAAAUUAUAUAUUGAGAUAUAUUUUCUGGAAUUCUCAGAAUUAUAAUCCUUUCGAUUGUGUGUAAAGCAUUCAAAUAAAUCAAGUGAAAAUUAUGAGAUUUGUGGUGUUUUAUGUGUUGACUUACCUAAUGGAAACUGUCCAAGAGCCAGAGUCUAAGCAGACUUUUCUGCGAUGAGGAGCAAAUGCCAACCAUGGGCUUCCAAGGCGGCGCUGUCUGGAACGUUCCUGCUGGCAGUUUUUAUGAUUUGCAAGCGUUGAAUGUCAUCGAGGAGAAGGUCGGCUGUGUGGAUUGCCUUGCCGGGUGGGGUUGUACCGGCGCGAGGGUGCCCUGCGUCCUGCUGGCCGCCCAUCUGCUCCAGCAUCGCCAGGAUGCCAAUGCCCACUUUAAUCGCGACCAAAGAAAAAGAAGCGCUAGAAUGGCUUUAUUUAGCCCAAUCUUGUCCAUGCUCAGUGGGAGCCAUUCAGCUAUAAUAACAAGCUGCAGUCGCAGUAAAAACCGCCAAAGAGUAAUACAACUUUUGUCGCCACUUUUCCAUUCUCCCUCUAUGCAAGAUUUCCAGUUAUCGAUAUACUUGACAUAUCUCCUUAAAGAGAGCAAAUUCUUAAAUUCUUUCCUUUGCUGCUUUCAAUAAAAAUAUAAUAUAAAAGUA